GACGAACGCUGGCGGCGUGCUUAACACAUGCAAGUCGAACGGAAAGGCCCUGCUUUUGUGGGGUGCUCGAGUGGCGAACGGGUGAGUAACACGUGAGUAACCUGCCCUUGACUUUGGGAUAACUUCAGGAAACUGGGGCUAAUACCGGAUAGGAGCUCCUGCUGCAUGGUGGGGGUUGGAAAGUUUCGGCGGUUGGGGAUGGGCUCGCGGCUUAUCAGCUUGUUGGUGGGGUAGUGGCUUACCAAGGCUUUGACGGGUAGCCGGCCUGAGAGGGUGACCGGCCACAUUGGGACUGAGAUACGGCCCAGACUCCUACGGGAGGCAACAGUGGGGAAUAUUGCACAAUGGGCGGAAGCCUGAUGCAGCAACGCCGCGUGCGGGAUGACGGCCUUCGGGUUGUAAACCGCUUUCGCCUGUGACGAAGCGUGAGUGACGGUAAUGGGUAAAGAAGCACCGGCUAACUACGU
rnacentral:rRNA from 1 species